rnacentral:snRNA from 1 species
UCUCCACGGUGUACCACGGGUU